GGGAGGUGUUUGUCAUGGCUCAGGAGGUCAACUUUGAAGCGGGGCAUUCCCUACAGGUAGGGAUCUGCCCGGAACGCAUCCCAUCCCAAACUGCAAAACCACAAGCAUCAACAGCAGGAGCCGAGCAAAGUGCUCGGCGGAGGAAGAGGAAGGGCGAGGGAGAGAAAUGGUCGAGUACAGAAGCCUGCGUGUGGGUAAGAAAAUACCCUAACCACUCGCCCACCGGACGCAGGGCGGCUGGGACUGCGAAUCCAGCAGCAGCCACAGCGUAGCAGCGGGCGGCAGCCGCCGAGGCAGCAAUGUCAGGAGGGCACAGCUGGAGGAGGCGGCCGCCAAAGCCACUACCCCACCCCCAGGUGUCUGUGUGCUUGUGAAGCGCUCCCUUGUUAGUUCCUUCUGUGAGACUCGGGGGAGACUGAAGAGGGAAAUCACCUGCGGGGAAUGAACAGGAAAGCAAUAAGAAGAUUUGGAAAAGAGGCACUGGCUACUGGAGGAAGGGAGAAAUCACCGAGAGAGCGAAAGAUGUAACAGAUGCAGUGACUCAUGCCUAUAAUCCCAGUACUUUGGAAGGUCAAGGCACAAGGAUCCAUUGAGGCCAGGAGUCCAAGACCAGCCUGCACAAUGUAGCAAGACUCCUUCUCUACAAAAAAAUAAAUAAAAAUUAGCCAGGCAUGGUGGUGCACUCCUGUAGUCCCAGCUACUCAAGAGGCUGAUGUAGAGAAUCGCAUUAUCCCAGAGGUCAAGGCUGCAGUGAGCCGUGAUCAUGCCUCUGCACUCCAGCCUGGACGAUAGAGCAAGACUUUAUCUCAAAAAACAAAAAUUUAAAAAGAUAUCAGGUAGCUCAUAGAAUUGUUGAGAGGGCUGUAAAACCAGGCUUGAACUUAAACAGCAACGAUAAACCACCCACAGAACGGACAUGAUGAAGAAGUUGGCAAAUGUUACCAACUGUCCUGGUUUUUUUGGUGACUGUAGUUUCCAAGGAUUCAGAUCCUUCCAUGCCAAAAUCUGAAAAAUGCUGGGCAAAGUAUGACUGACAAUGUGGUAAUCUUACAGCUAGCACUAGAGACAUCAAGCACUAGACAACACAAUUUGCCCUUUGGCCACUUAUACAAUGGGAACUCACGCUUGCAGUAACCUCUAUUGCCACUAGGAGAGAGAAACACAGAAGGAGGAAGGGAGAAGGGAGAGAGAGGAAAAAAACUGUUGCUUGUCUCCUUAGCUGUGAGUCAAAGGUCUAACACAGAUGUCUGGCUGAAAAGCCUAGGUCACAUGCCUGCACCCCAGAGAAAGUAUGUGACAUCUUCUGCUUCCAUUAUGGGAAACAGCCUUUGCUUGUCACGAAGAUUUACAUGGUGAGACAUAUCCUAAAUAUAGGGAAGCUGUUGAAGUGGCCCAAAUAAUGACCAAUUUCUACUAAUUUGUACUAAUAUCCAAAUUACUUUUAAUUAUCUAAUAUUACUUAGAUACAGUGAGGCAACCAUUCGUUGGAUAUAUAAUGGUUUCUUUGAUUUCAAAAAUCUUUUUUUAUGUAAUAUAUGUCUGAAGACCAUCAAAAUAAAUUCUUAAAGUCAGAUUAAUAGGAUGUUACUUAUAAUAUUAUUGUAAUUAUUUGACCACAUAAUAGUUUAUGCCCAUUAUAUACUAUGUAAUUGUAUGAUGGAAAUAAUGCUGUACUUUGUUUGUAAAAGUUUAAUUAUCCUGACCUUUGUUCAUCAUAAAGAAUUGCUCCAUUUCUAUUAUUUAUCGAGGAAAAAAGUUUCUCUCUUUUUGUUUUUAAUAUGUCAUUAGGAGAAGAGUAGUUACACGUAGGCUAGAGUGUUUGCCAAGAAGAAAUUGAUUUUAAUGGGAACCUUUUAUCUAAGACAAACUUUAAGAAGAGCAGUAAUGGACAAUGUGUUCUGUGCAACUCUUCAGCCUUCAGUCUCACAUUCAUUGUGGUCAAGUAUUUUCAGCAAAGAAUAACAAGUCAGAGUUUGUGUAUAUUUUUCAUAGCUGUUCAUUCUCUUACAGAGUAACCUUGAACAAACCUCUUAAGAUUUGUGUUUUAUCUUCAUAUACUGAAAUACAAAAUGGGAAUGCCUAUAUUUAAUCAAAGAUAUAAUUUUUACUGAUAGAUAGUAAAGAACAAAACACUGGAACAAGAAUUCCUGUCCUGCCUUUCACAAUGUGGUUUUGAGGCCUUGGCCAUGUCACUUAAAUUCUCAUAUCUGUUUUCUCAAUCUAUAAAUGAUCAUAAUACCUGCACUAUCUGUCUCAAAUUGCAUAUGUGAAAGCAUCUUAAAGGUACAAAACAAUAAAUACAAAGCAUUAUUAUUAAAUUAUUACACCUUCCAGCAUUUAAUGCUAAAAAUGCCAAAUGCGUCCUUUGGUUAUAUGUAGGAAAUAUGUCUCAGAAAAAUCAAUUUAAAAUUAUAGAAGCUAACAGGUAAGUCAUUUUAAGUGUGUGGUUAUCUUCUGCAUGGCAGAUUUUUAAAUGGUAAUUAUUAAUGAAGUUUUCCUAUACUUACUGUUUCCAAGACUCCAUUCUUUCCAAAGUUUUCUGAGUUAUGCUUAUCAUCCCUUAAGUCUUAGGGAUGCUCUUCUGAGCUUUUGG
rnacentral:lncRNA from 10 species